rnacentral:rRNA from 1 species
CCUACGGGAGGCAGCAGUGGGGAAUAUUGGACAAUGGGGGAAACCCUGAUCCAGCGACGCCGCGUGAGUGAAGAAGUAUCUCGGUACGUAAAGCUCUAUCAGCAGGGAAGAAAAUGACGGUACCUGACCAAGAAGCCCCGGCUAACUACGUGCCAGCAGCCGCGGUAAUACGUAGGGGGCAAGCGUUAUCCGGAUUUACUGGGUGUAAAGGGAGCGUAGACGGCAGCGCAAGUCUGGAGUGAAAUGCCGGGGCCCAACCCCGGAACUGCUCUGGAAACUGUGAGGCUGGAGUGCAGGAGAGGUAAGCGGAAUUCCUGGUGUAGCGGUGAAAUGCGUAGAUAUCAGGAGGAACACCGGCGGCGAAGGCGGCUUACUGGACUGUAACUGACGUUGAGGCUCGAAAGCGUGGGGAGCAAACAGGAUUAGAUACCCCAGUAGUC